rnacentral:tRNA from 1 species
GAGGUUGUGGCUCAGCGGUAGAGCGCUCGCCUAGCACGUGCGAGGCCCUAGGCUCGAUCCUCAGCACCACA